GAUGAACGCUGGCGGCGUGCUUAACACAUGCAAGUCGAACGAAGCACUUUAACCUGUUUCUUCGGAUGAAGGUUUUUGUGACUGAGUGGCGGACGGGUGAGUAACGCGUGUGUAACCUGCCUCAUACAGGGGGAUAACAGCUAGAAAUGACUGCUAAUACCGCAUAAGACCACAGAGCCGCAUGGCUCGGUGGGAAAAACUCCGGUGGUAUGAGAUGGACCCGCGUCUGAUUAGGUAGUUGGUGGGGUAACGGCCUACCAAGCCAACGAUCAGUAGCCGACCUGAGAGGGUGACCGGCCACAUUGGGACUGAGACACGGCCCAAACUCCUACGGGAGGCAGCAGUGGGGAAUAUUGCACAAUGGGGGAAACCCUGAUGCAGCGACGCCGCGUGAGCGAAGAAGUAUUUCGGUAUGUAAAGCUCUAUCAGCAGGGAAGAAAAUGACGGUACCUGACUAAGAAGCACCGGCUAAAUACGUG
rnacentral:rRNA from 1 species